GACGAACGCUGGCGGCGUGCUUAACACAUGCAAGUCGAACGGUGAAGCGCCUUCCUUUUUGGUGGGUGUGGAUGAGUGGCGAACGGGCGAGUAACACGUGAGUAGCCUGCCCCCUUCUUCUGGAUAACCGCAUGAAAGUGUGGCUAAUACGGGAUAUUCUGGGUCUGUCGCAUGAUGGGUCUGGGAAAGAUAUUGUUUCGGUGGGGGAUGGGCUCGCGGCCUAUCAGCUUGUUGGUGGGGUGAUGGCCUACCAAGGCGGUGACGGGUAGCCGGCCUGAGAGGGUGGACGGUCACACUGGGACUGAGACACGGCCCAGACUCCUACGGGAGGCAGCAGUGGGGAAUAUUGCACAAUGGGCGCAAGCCUGAUGCAGCGACGCCGCGUGAGGGAUGGAGGCCUUCGGGUUGUGAACCUCUUUCGCCAGUGAAGCAGGCCUGCCUCGUUUGUGGGUGGGUUGACGGUAGCUGGAUAAGAAGCGCCGGCUAACUACGU
rnacentral:rRNA from 1 species